rfam:Hordeum vulgare subsp. vulgare, WGS project CAJW01000000 data, contig: morex_contig_1573622
UUUAUAUUCCCUUCGUCCCAAAAUUCUUGUCUUAGAUGUGUCUAUAAAUGAAUGUAUCUAAAUACUAUGACAUGACUAGAUACAUUCAUAUCUAGACAAAUCUAANNNAAGAAUUUUGGGACGGAGAGAGUAUUUA